rnacentral:rRNA from 1 species
ACAGGUGCUGCAUGGCUGUCGUCAGCUCGUGUCGUGAGAGUGUUCGGGUUAAGUCCCGCAACGAGCCGCAACCCUUAUCAUUAGUUGCUACGUCAAGGGCACUCUAAUGAGACUGCCGGUGACAAACCGGAGAAGUGGGAUGACGUCAAGUCCUCAUGGCCCUUAUGGGUAGGGCUUCACACGUCAUACAAUGGUCGGUACAGAGGGUUGCCAAGCCGCGAGGCGGAGCCAAUCCCACAAAGCCGAUCGUAGUCCGGAUUGUUCUCUGCAACUCGAGAGCAUGAAGUCGGAAUCGCUAGUAAUCGCAGGUCAGCAUACUGCGGUGAAUACGUUCCCGGGUCUU